AUUGAACGCUGGCGGCAUGCUUUACACAUGCAAGUCGAACGGCAGCGGGGGCUUCGGCCUGCCGGCGAGUGGCGAACGGGUGAGUAAUGCAUCGGAACGUACCCAGUCAUGGGGGAUAACUACGCGAAAGCGUAGCUAAUACCGCAUACGCCCUGAGGGGAAAGCGGGGGAUCGCAAGACCUCGCGUGAUUGGAGCGGCCGAUGUCGGAUUAGCUAGUUGGUGGGGUAAAGGCCUACCAAGGCGACGAUCCGUAGCGGGUCUGAGAGGAUGAUCCGCCACACUGGGACUGAGACACGGCCCAGGACUCCUACGGGAGGCAGCAGUGGGGAAUUUUGGGACAAUGGGCGCAAGCCUGAUCCAGCAAUGCCGCGUGCA
rnacentral:rRNA from 1 species